AUCGCUUCUCGGCCUUUUGGCUAAGAUCAAGUGUAAUAAUUGAAAUCUCAUCAUAUUGAGUAUUACCCUUAACAAAUAUGAAGUGACCAUUCUUAUCCUUCCUUACUUUUGUUGGUUUAAAGCCUAUUGUGUCUGCAAAUAGAAUUGCAACACCUGCUUUAUUCUGAUUACCAUUUGCCUGAAAUAUGGACGACCAUCC